ACGACGCUGGCGGCGUGCCUAACACAUGCAAGUCAACGGGGUAAGACUCGGUUUUUACUUAGUGGCGAACGGGUGAGUAACGCGUGAGAAACCUGCCUUUCAGUGGGGGACAACAGUUGGAAACGACUGCUAAUACCGCAUAAUGUAUCGAGAGGGCAUCCUCUUGAUACCAAAGAUUUAUUGCUGAAAGAUGGUCUCGCGUCUGAUUAGCUAGUUGGUGAGGUAACGGCUCACCAAGGCGACGAUCAGUAGCCGGUCUGAGAGGAUGAACGGCCACAUUGGGACUGAGAUACGGCCCAGACUCCUACGGGAGGCAGCAGUGGGGAAUAUUGGGCAAUGGGGGAAACCCUGACCCAGCAACGCCGCGUGAAGGAAGAAGGCCUUCGGGUUGUAAACUUCUUUUACCAGGGACGAAGAACGUGACGGUACCUGGAGAAAAAGCAACGGCUAACUACGUG
rnacentral:rRNA from 1 species